rnacentral:lncRNA from 10 species
ACUUGGAUGGACCCUGAGGAUCCUAUGCUGAGUUAAAUAAGCCAGUCACAGAAGAACACGUACCAUACAAUCCCACUUAUGUGAGGUCCCUAGAGUAGUCACUUUCAUAGAGAUAGUAGCUGACAGGAGGAGCAUGGGGAGUGACUGUUUAAUGAAUACAGACUUGAAAUUUGGGAAGAGGUAAAAGUUCUGGAGAUGGAUGGUGGUGAUGGGUGGUGAUGAUGGACAUUGGAGAUGGGCAAUGGACAUGGAUGGUGGUGAUGGAUGGUAUAAAUGGAUAUUGGAUGUGGACAGCGGACGUGGACAGUGGAGAUAGAGGGUGGUGAUGGCUGGUGGACAUGGACAGUGAAGAUAGAGAGUAGUGAUGGAUGGUGGAGAUAGAGGGCGGUGAUGGACAGUGGAGAUAGAGGGUGGUGAUGGACAGUGGAGAUGGACGGUGGGGACAGAGGGUGGUGAUGGACGGUGGACACAGACGGUGGAGAUAGAGGGUGGUGAUGGACGGUGGACACGGACAGU